ACCCCGCGAAUCAAACGCUGGGAUUCAGCUUCGAGCCGCAGAACUUACGAGUAUAUACCCUACGCUUUGCCAAAUCGAGCCGUACUCGAUUUCCCCCUACCAGAUGGAGUCCUAUCCAAGCAUUAUUCGAGACAGACCGAGGCCCAUCCCAGCAGGACACAAGCGCACCCCUUGCAAGAUCCGAACCCAACAAGCCAUCGUCAUCCUUCGAUCUGGCCAUCGAUAACAAGGACUUUGACUAUGGAAACCAAGGGAGGAGGUAGAUAGAUAUAGUUGUUGUUAGGUUUAAGGAUAUAUGUAUAUAUAUAUUUAGAUAGUAUAUGCAAAUGUUUUCCACUUAUUUAUUUCUUUAUACUAAGCUAAGUUUCGAUGAAUAAAACUAUUGAAAAAUCA